rnacentral:lncRNA from 1 species
GUCCUCCUGCCUGCCUUCAGAUCAAGAUGUAGAACUCUCAGCUCCUUCUCCAGCACCAUGUCUGCCUGGAUGUUGCCAUGCUUCCCACCAUGAUGAUAAUGGACUGAACCUCUGCAACUGUAAGCCAGCCCCAAUUAAAUGUUGUUCUUUAGGAACGUUUCCUUGCUCACAGUGUCUCUUCACAGCAAUGGAAACCCUAACAAGGACAGUGGGUGACUUAGACUGUGGGGCAGAAAAUCUCACUGGGAAAUCUGUUUUACUCCAGAUGAGAGAGUCAGUUCCCAGACACACAGCCAUUCUUUCCAGGCAGCCCUUGACCCACAGAGUGACUCCUCAGCUCCUCUAAGAACAAAGUACUGAAGUUAAAAACUGUUGGUUACAACUACCACAAGAAUAGCUACCCCAUUGGUUUUGAGCUAAAAUCACCUCCUUUAAGAUACAAGACUCAGCCCUGUCAAUCGCUAAGUCUGGCGCAUGAGCUGGACCUCACUGUCAUUGAUCUGACUGGUUUGUUGUUGGUUUCUUUUUCCAUCACUUGCUCCAUUCCUUCUUCCUUCUUGGCAGGACAAUCUCCAACAGCAAUGCUGAGACAUCCAUGCAGCCACACUCCCAUGGCUUUUGGUGUGGUUUGUGUCUGUCAAAUAGUUUGUUUCUUUGGUGGACUUGGAUAAAAAUUCCUUUCUUAAUAAAAAGAGAAACUGCAGCAAAAGAAAAUUCUACUCUCUUUUUCCUUCCCUUUAGUUCUAAUGGAUAAACAAAUGAUAGUUGGGGCUGCUACAGCCCUCAUGGUGUGUGAGACUAGAAGCCUAUAGACAAAGAGCCAGCACACUAUGGAGACAUAAGCGGGAGAAUGAGUAGAGCUAAGGUCCUUGAUAUAAAUAUUAUUGGCGAGCUCUUAACCUAACCCUGUGACCUAGAAUUCUAGAAUCCUUAAGUGAUUUUAUCCCCUACAGUUAGGUACCCUUAUAUCUUAUAGGUAGCCUUAUACCUUAUUGAUAUACAAGUUACUUAGCCUGUUUGACCCUAAACUUUCUCAUCUAAUAAUUGAGGAUAAUACCACGCAGGAAUGUGAGGAGUAAUUAAUGAUUUGAUCUUUAUGCUCUAUCAUACCAGUUCACCUGUAUGAUGCUCUCCACCCAUUUGGCUUAUUAGUUACUGUUUGGAGACAGUUUUCUGAGUCCAGCCAUCUCAGAAACAAGUUCUACCUUGUUGACAGGGUCAAACCUGAGUUCAUGUUCUCAGGUCCUGGAACCCAACUACUAUCCUGCUUCUUCAGAUGUUUCAUGUUUUUCUGCUAACCAGGAAAGGAUGUAAAAAUGAAAGUUGCUGUUAUCUUGUUGUCUAAAUUACAAGCACACAAGUCAUAAAUGCAUCGCCUGUCUUGACUUAAUUGACCACGUGCUGCUUGCCCACUCCUUUGUUCCUAUAUCAUUAUAAAUUCUAGGUCAGAGUCCAGGAAGGGACCUGACUGCAAAAGGUGACUCAAGGAUCCUGAAACUUGGAGACCUGGAUACGUCCCAGUCACCAACUUUAACUUCCCUGCUUAAUGCCUUGUGUUGAAAUAUGAUUGGUCAAGGCAACAGCCCUCCCUCCUCCCCCUUGCUUUGUGUUGUCAUCCCAUAAAAUUGUUGUACAAUCUCCCUUUGGGGAGUCAGUUCAGAUUCCAAACUGGCACCCUUUCGAAUGUGCAGAAAAUAAAGCUUUCAUUUUUAAA